GAACAAGCUGAUAGUGAAACUGAGACUAGUCGUCCUCUCAUUCUUUCAGAUCAAGAGCAACAUAUACCACAAGGCAAAGAAUCUCUGCAUGAAAAGAAAAUACUCUCUCAAGAAAAGAAAAUUCAAAAGCUUAAUGAGCUGAUUCGAGAUCUAAGGAGGCAGUUGCUGCAAUGCAGAAAUGAAAAUGAGGUUGAGUUGAGGGAGCUAGAAACUGAGCUUGAUCAGCUGCUGUUAAGAGGUGUUUAAUCCAUUUUUACAGAUUGAAGCUUUGUCUCUCUAACCCUCCAUAAGCCUAAAUCCAGAUUCUUGAUCAAUCUAAAUACCAUAGCCCCUCUUUCUAAGCACUACACUUGACUGUACUUUGAAGGAGAAAUCAAAGACGAAUGGUCCUAUUUUGAAGUACAUCAAGUAUGUAUAGCCAAGGCAUGCCAUUUGGUUUAUUUUUCAUUUUCUUGUAUUUUUAUCAUAAUACUGAAAGUGUGGGACUACUUAGCUUGGUUGACUCAAUAACUUGGACUUUUAUGAAAAGACCAGAUUCUGCUAUAAAACUAGGACACACAAAAAAAAUAGAAAAAAAGCUACAACU